CGAAGGUGGCGACCGUUGUUCGGAAUCACUGGGCAUAAAGAGCUCGUAGGCGGUGAGAAAGGUAGGGUGUGAAAUCCCUCGGCCCAACCGAGGAACUGCGCUCUAAACUGUCUUGCUUGAGGACCGAAGGGGACCACGGAAUUCCUGGUGGAGCGGUGAAAUGCGUUGAUAUCAGGAGGAACACCGGCGGCGAAGGCGGUGGUCUGGUCGGUUUCUGACGCUGAGGAGCGAAAGCUAGGGGAGCAAACGGGAUUAGAUACCCCGGUAGUCCUAGCCGUAAACGAUGGGCACUAGGUAGGGGGGUACCCAAUGCCUCCCUGCUGGAGUUAAUAUAUUAAGUGCCCCGCCUGGGGAGUAUAGUCGCAAGGCUG
rnacentral:rRNA from 1 species